UACAGAGGGGGCAAGCGUUGUUCGGAAUUACUGGGCGUAAAGGGCGCGUAGGCGGCCUUCUUAGUCGAACGUGAAAUCCCCGGGCUCAACCCGGGAACUGCGUCCGAUACUGGAUGGCUUGAAUCCGGGAGAGGGAUGCAGAAUUCCAGGUGUAGCGGUGAAAUGCGUAGAUAUCUGGAGGAAUACCGGUGGCGAAGGCGGCAUCCUGGACCGGCAUUGACGCUGAGGAGCGAAAGCUAGGGGAGCAAACGGG
rnacentral:rRNA from 1 species